GAUGAACGCUGGCGGCGUGCUUAACACAUGCAAGUCGAACGGUGAAGGCGGAGCUUGCUCUGCUGGAUCAGUGGCGAACGGGUGAGUAACACGUGAGCAAUCUGCCCCUGACUCUGGGAUAAGCUCUGGAAACGGCGUCUAAUACUGGAUACGAGCUGCUAAGGCAUCUUCAGCAGCUGGAAAGAAUUUCGGUCAGGGAUGAGCUCGCGGCCUAUCAGCUUGUUGGUGAGGUAAUGGCUCACCAAGGCGUCGACGGGUAGCCGGCCUGAGAGGGUGACCGGCCACACUGGGACUGAGACACGGCCCAGACUCCUACGGGAGGCAGCAGUGGGGAAUAUUGCACAAUGGGCGAAAGCCUGAUGCAGCAACGCCGCGUGAGGGACGACGGCCUUCGGGUUGUAAACCUCUUUUAGCAGGGAAGAAGCGAAAGUGACGGUAACUGCAGAAAAAGCGCCGGCUAACUACGUG
rnacentral:rRNA from 1 species